GGUCAUUAUCUUCAUAUGACUUUCUUCACACACUUCAAUAUGGUUUGAAGCCACAAAGUAAUGGGGUGGACACACCAUGAACUGUGCUCGCUCCUCUUCAGCUACAAUGAUCAUCUAUUUACACACAGUGUUGAGCUCCUGGACUGGAGGAAGUGCUUAAUGAGACUGGGUAAAACUUUUCUUUUCCUUCCUUCUUGGGUGUUUUGGAAGAACAUUAUAAUAGAGCCUUGCCAGAGAAAAUACAUUUUUCUUCCCUAAAACCUUCCUGAGGACCAGGAUAUUUCCUACAAGAGUUGGCUAAACGAACUUAGUGGAUACAAACAGGGGUGAGACCAGGGCAAUUCAAAAUUGAAGAUGGUUGAUUACAGACUGAGAAUGGAGAAAAUCUCAGCACCAUUUUAGGAAGUAAAUUUAAUAGAGGAGAAGAUGUCCUAGGUAAUCAAUUGCCUGCCUUGAGAGCAUCAAGAUCUGAGUGUGAUCCCCCGAACCAACAUUUCAAAAGCCUGGCAUAGCAGACUACAUUGUAAUGUCCC